rnacentral:misc_RNA from 1 species
GAUGAGGAACGCAGCGAAAUGCGAUAAGUAAUGUGAAUUGCAGAAUUCAGUGAAUCAUCGAAUCUUUGAACGCACAUUGCGCCCCUUGGUAUUCCGAGGGGCAUGCCUGUUCGAGCGUCAUUAUAACCCCUCAAGCUCAGCUUGGUAUUGGGGCCUGCCAUCCUGGCAGCCCUUAAAAUCAGUGGCGGUGCCAUCCGGCUCUAAGCGUAGUAACUCCUCUCGCUAUGGAGUCCUGGUGGAUGCUUUGCAAUUAAUCUUUUAACUUCUAUGGUUGACCUCGGAUCAGGUAGGGAUACCCGCUGAACUUAAGCAUAUCAAUAAGCGGAGGA